rnacentral:rRNA from 1 species
AUGAACGCUGGCGGCGUGCCUAAUACAUGCAAGUCGAGCGAACAGAUGAGGAGCUUGCUCCUCUGACGUUAGCGGCGGACGGGUGAGUAACACGUGGAUAACCUACCUAUAAGACUGGGAUAACUUCGGGAAAUCGGAGCUAAUACCGGAUAAUAUAUUGAACCGCAUGGUUCAAUAGUGAAAGACGGUUUUGCUGUCACUUAUAGAUGGAUCCGCGCCGCAUUAGCUAGUUGGUAAGGUAACGGCUUACCAAGGCAACGAUGCGUAGCCGACCUGAGAGGGUGAUCGGCCACACUGGAACUGAGACACGGUCCAGACUCCUACGGGAGGCAGCAGUAGGGAAUCUUCCGCAAUGGGCGAAAGCCUGACGGAGCAACGCCGCGUGAGUGAUGAAGGUCUUCGGAUCGUAAAACUCUGUUAUUAGGGAAGAACAAAUGUGUAAGUAACUAUGCACGUCUUGACGGUACCUAAUCAGAAAGCCACGGCUAACUACGUG